rnacentral:ncRNA from 1 species
GCGCGGACGUACGGCUCGGCCUCCUCCCGCUCCACGUUCGGCUGGCACCACUUCCCCGGUGCCAGGGGAACGUUUCUGCCGAGCGGGCGGGGACCAGGUUCUACGUCCAUCCGCAG